rnacentral:rRNA from 1 species
CCUACGGGAGGCAGCAGUGGGGAAUAUUGCGCAAUGGGCGAAAGCCUGACGCAGCGACGCCGCGUGAGGGAUGACGGUCUUCGGAUUGUUAAACUCUAUCUUUGGGGAAGAAAAUGACGGUACCCAUAGAGGAAGCACCGGCUAACUACGUGCCAGAAGCCGCGGUAAUACGUAGGGAGCGAGCGUUGUCCGGAAUUACUGGGUGUAAAGGGAGUGUAGGCGGGCGAGAAAGUUGAAUGUUAAAUCUACCGGCUUAACUGGUAGCUGCGUUCAACACUUCUUGUCUUGAGUGAAGUAGAGGCAGGCGGAAUGUCUAGUGUAGCGGUGAAAUGCGUAGAGAUUAGGAGGAACACCAGUGGCGAAGGCGGCCUGCUGGGCUUUAACUGACGCUGAGGCUCGAAAGCGUGGGGAGCAAACAGGAUUAGAUACCCCAGUAGUC